rnacentral:lncRNA from 1 species
UGUGCUGAAGAAACACGCCAUAAGGAUUCUCAAAAGGAUAUUCAUGGAUACAUCUUCGGCUAUGGGUGAAGGAGACAGAGAAAGGUUCAUUGGCUCCUUGAUGGACAUGUCUCUUCACAACAGUAAUGGUGACUUUCAAAAUCUGGCAGGUGUAGAUCUGGCGCUCAAGAAACAAGGGUUAAGCAUUCUCAAAGAAAUAUACUUGAAUCCAUCUUCGAUUAUGGGCGAAGGAGACAGAGAAAGGUUCAUCGGCUCCCUGAUGGACAUGUUUCUUGACAACAGUAAGGGCGACUUUGGAAAUCUGCCAGGUGAAGAUCUGGACCUCAAGAAACAAGAGUUAAGUAUUCUCAAAGAAAUAUGCAUGGAUCCAUCUUCGUUUAUGGGCGAAGGUGACAGAGAAAAAUUCAUCGGCACCCUGAUGGACAUGUUUCUUCACAACAGCAAGGGCGACUUGUUUGAAAAACUAGCAGGUGAUGAUCUGGUGCAGAUAUGUAGAAGAAGUGGAAGCAGUGCC